rnacentral:siRNA from 1 species
UUAUAGUUUGUUUGAUGG